UACGUAGGGUGCAAGCGUUGUCCGGAUUUAUUGGGCGUAAAGAGCUCGUAGGCGGUUUGUCGCGUCGGCCGUGAAAUCUCCACGCUUAACGUGGAGCGUGCGGUCGAUACGGGCAGACUUGAGUUCGGUAGGGGAGACUGGAAUUCCUGGUGUAGCGGUGAAAUGCGCAGAUAUCAGGAGGAACACCGGUGGCGAAGGCGGGUCUCUGGGCCGAUACUGACGCUGAGGAGCGAAAGCGUGGGGAGCGAACAGG
rnacentral:rRNA from 1 species